AGUCGAACGGUAACAGGAAGAAGCUUGCUUCUUUGCUGACGAGUGGCGGACGGGUGAGUAAUGUCUGGGAAACUGCCUGAUGGAGGGGGAUAACUACUGGAAACGGUAGCUAAUACCGCAUAACGUCGCAAGACCAAAGAGGGGGACCUUCGGGCCUCUUGCCAUCGGAUGUGCCCAGAUGGGAUUAGCUUGUUGGUGGGGUAACGGCUCACCAAGGCGACGAUCCCUAGCUGGUCUGAGAGGAUGACCAGCCACACUGGAACUGAGACACGGUCCAGACUCCUACGGGAGGCAGCAGUGGGGAAUAUUGCACAAUGGGCGCAAGCCUGAUGCAGCCAUGCCGCGUG
rnacentral:rRNA from 1 species